rnacentral:rRNA from 1 species
UACGUAGGUGGCGAGCGUUAUCCGGAUUUACUGGGCGUAAAGAGCGCGCAGGCGGCUGGUCAAGUCCGAUGUGAAAGCUCCCGGCUUAACUGGGAAAUUGCAUCGGAAACUGAUCGGCUGGAAGGUGGGAGAGGGAGGCGGAAUUCUCGGUGUAGAGGUGAAAUUCGUAGAUAUCGAGAGGAACACCGGUGGCGAAGGCAGCCUUCUGGACAGCAACUGACGCUGAGACGCGAAAGCGUGGGGAGCAAACAGG